CAGUAGCCGCGGUAAUACAGAGGGUGCAAGCGUUAAUCGGAAUUACUGGGCGUAAAGCGCGCGUAGGUGGUUUGUUAAGUUGGAUGUGAAAUCCCCGGGCUCAACCUGGGAACUGCAUCCAAAACUGGCAAGCUAGAGUAUGGUAGAGGGUGGUGGAAUUUCCUGUGUAGCGGUGAAAUGCGUAGAUAUAGGAAGGAACACCAGUGGCGAAGGCGACCACCUGGACUGAUACUGACACUGAGGUGCUAAAGCGUGGGGAGCAAACAGGAUUAGAUACCCCAGUAGUCCCUGUCUCUUAUAA
rnacentral:rRNA from 1 species